ensembl:lncRNA
AUGUCGUCCAAAAUUGUGAAAAAACGUCAUAGUUUAGUAUGUCGACCAAAAUGUGGAAAAAAACGUCAUAGUUUAGUAUGUCGUCCAAAAUGUGGAAAAAAAGGUCAUAGUUUAGUAUGUCGUCCAAAAUUGCGAAAAAACGUCAUAGUUUAGUAUGUCGUCCAAAAUUGUGAAAAAACGUCAUAGUUUAGUAUGUCGUCCAAAAUGUGGAAAAAAACGUCAUAGUUUAGUAUGUCGUCCAAAAUUGCGAAAAAACGUCAUAGUUUAGUAUGUCGUCCAAAAUUGUGAAAAAACGUCAUAGUUUAGUAUGUCGUCCAAAAUGUGGAAAAAAACGUCAUAGUUUAGUAUGUCGUCCAAAAUGUGGAAAAAAACGUCAUAGUUUAGUAUGUCGUCCAAAAUGUGGAAAAAAAGGUCAUAGUUUAGUAUGUCGUCCAAAAUGUGGAAAAAAACGUCAUAGUUUAGUAUGUCGUCCAAAAUGUGG